GUAGGGUGCGAGCGUUAAUCGGAAUUACUGGGCGUAAAGCGUGCGUAGGCGGUUGGCAAAGUCAGCUGUGAAAGCCCCGGGCUUAACCUGGGAAUGGCGGUUGAAACUAGUCGACUAGAAUCUGGCAGAGGGGGGUGGAAUUCCACGUGUAGCAGUGAAAUGCGUAGAGAUGUGGAGGAACACCGAUGGCGAAGGCAGCCCCCUGGGCUGAGAUUGACGCUCAGGCACGAAAGCGUGGGGAGCAAACAGGAUUAGAUACCCUGGUAGUCCACGCCCUAAACGAAGUUAACUAUAGGUGUGGGGAGCGCAAGUUCUCAGUACCGCAGCUAACGCGUGAAGUUGACCGCCUGGGGAGUACGGUCGCAAGAUUA
rnacentral:rRNA from 1 species